rnacentral:rRNA from 1 species
CGUAGGGUGCAAGCGUUGCUCGGAAUCAUUGGGCGUAAAGAGCGUGUAGGUGGCUAGAUAAGUCAGAUGUGAAAUCCCUGGGCUCAACCGAGGAAGUGCACUUGAAACUAUCUAGCUCGAGGACGGCAGAGGAAGGUGGAAUUCCUAGUGUAGAGGUGAAAUUCGUAGAUAUUAGGAGGAAUACCGGUGGCGAAGGCGGCCUUCUGGACCGUUCCUGACACUGAGACGCGAAAGCGUGGGGAUCAAACAGGAUUAGAUACCCUGGUAGUCCACGCUGUAAACGAUGGGUACUAGAUGUUGUGGGAAUUGACCCCCGCAGUGUCGUAGCUAACGCGUUAAGUACCCCGCCUGGGAAGUACGGCCGCAAGGUUA